rnacentral:rRNA from 1 species
UACGGAGGAUGCAAGCGUUAUCCGGAUUUAUUGGGUUUAAAGGGUGCGCAGGCGGGGACGUAAGUCAGUGGUGAAAAGUUGCCGCUUAACGGUAGUCUUGCCAAUGAUACUGCGUUUCUUGAGUAUGGUUAAGGUAGGCGGAAUGUGCAGUGUAGCGGUGAAAUGCAUAGAUAUUGCACAGAAGGCCGAUUGCGGAGGCAGCUUACUGAGCCAUAACUGACGCUGAGGCACGAAAGCGUGGGGAUCAAACAGGAUUA